rnacentral:rRNA from 1 species
GAUGAACGCUGGCGGCGUGCCUAAUACAUGCAAGUCGAGCGAACGGACGAGAAGCUUGCUUCUCUGAUGUUAGCGGCGGACGGGUGAGUAACACGUGGAUAACCUACCUAUAAGACUGGGAUAACUUCGGGAAACCGGAGCUAAUACCGGAUAAUAUUUUGAACCGCAUGGUUCAAAAGUGAAAGACGGUCUUGCUGUCACUUAUAGAUGGUUCCGCGCUGCAUUAGCUAGUUGGUAAGGUAACGGCUUACCAAGGCAACGAUGCAUAGCCGACCUGAGAGGGUGAACGGCCAAAAUGGAACUGAGACACGGUCCAGAAUCCUACGGGAGGAAGCAGUAGGGAAUCUUCCGCAAUGGGCGAAAGCAUGACGGAGCAAAGCCGCGUGAGUGAUGAAGGUCUUCGGAUCGUAAAACUCUGUUAUUAGGGAAGAACAUAUGUGUAAGUAACUGUGCACAUCUUGACGGUACCUAAUCAGAAAGCCACGGCUAACUACGUG